GAUGAACGCUGGCGGCGUGCCUAAUACAUGCAAGUCGAGCGAACAGACGAGGAGCUUGCUCCUCUGACGUUAGCGGCGGACGGGUGAGUAACACGUGGAUAACCUACCUAUAAGACUGGGAUAACUUCGGGAAACCGGAGCUAAUACCGGAUAAUAUAUUGAACCGCAUGGUUCAAUAGUGAAAGACGGUUUUGCUGUCACUUAUAGAUGGAUCCGCGCCGCAUUAGCUAGUUGGUAAGGUAACGGCUUACCGAGGCAACGAUGCGUAGCCGACCUGAGAGGGUGGUCGGCCACACUGGAACUGAGACACGGUCCAGACUCCUACGGGAGGCAGCAGUAGGGAGUCUUCCGCAAUGGGCGAAAGCCUGACGGAGCAACGCCGCGUGAGUGAUGAAGGUCUUCGGAUCGUAAAACUCUGUUAUUAGGGAAGAACAAAUGUGUAAGUAACUAUGCACGUCUUGACGGUACCUAAUCAGAAAGCCACGGCUAACUACGUG
rnacentral:rRNA from 1 species